AACUUUCAACAACGGAUCUCUUGGCUCUCGCAUCGAUGAAGACCCACGAAAUGUGAUAAGUAAUGUGAAUUGCAGAAUUCAGUGAAUCAUCGAAUCUUUGAACGCACCUUGCGCUCGCUGGUAUUCCGGCGAGCAUGCCUGUUUGAGUGUCA
rnacentral:rRNA from 1 species